rnacentral:rRNA from 1 species
AGCGAACGCUGGCGGCAUGCUUAACACAUGCAAGUCGCACGGGCAGCAAUGUCAGUGGCGGACGGGUGGGUAACGCGUAGGAACGUGUCCUGAGGUGGGGGACAACCCCGGGAAACUGGGGCUAAUACCGCAUAUGGGCUGAGGCCCAAAGCCGAGAGGCGCCUUUGGAGCGGCCUGCGUCCGAUUAGGUAGUUGGUGGGGUAAAGGCCUACCAAGCCUGCGAUCGGUAGCUGGUCUGAGAGGACGACCAGCCACGCUGGAACUGAGACACGGCCCAGACUCCGACGGGAGGGAGCAGUGGGGAAUAUUAGACAAUGGGCGAAAGCCUGAUCCAGCAAUGCCGCGUAGGUGAAGAAGGUCUUCGGAUCGUAAAGCCCUUUCGACGGGGACGAUGAUGACGGUACCCGUAGAAGAAGCCCCGGCUAACUUCGUG